rnacentral:sRNA from 1 species
UCGAUUAUUCGCAUCAUUCAUUGAAUGGUGGGUUAGCGCGCGUCUUUUGUCCUAAUGAUGCAACCCGCCCCGAGGCGGGUUUU